CCUACGGGUGGCAGCAGUGAGGAAUAUUGGUCAAUGGGCGGAAGCCUGAACCAGCCAAGUAGCGUGCAGGAUGACGGCCCUACGGGUUGUAAACUGCUUUUAUACGGGAAUAACGCGCCUUACGUGUAGGGCUUUGCAUGUACCGUAUGAAUAAGGACCGGCUAAUUCCGUGCCAGCAGCCGGGGUAAUACGGAAGGUCCGGGGGUUAACCGGAUUUUUUGGGUUUAAAGGGAGCGUAGGCCGGAUGUCAAGCGUGCUGUGAAAUGUCCGGGUUCAACCCGGGCCUUGCAGCGCGAACUGGCGUGCUUGAGUCCGCGGAAAGCAGGCGGAAUGCGUCGUGUAGCGGUGAAAUGCUGAGAUAUGACGAAGAACCCCGAUUGCGAAGGCAGCUUGCUGCAGCGGAACUGACGCUGAUGCUCGAAAGCGCGGGUAUCGAACAGGAUUAGAUACCCGAGUAGUC
rnacentral:rRNA from 1 species